rnacentral:lncRNA from 1 species
UGAUACAUGCAGUCUUACUCUGUUGCCCAGGCUGGAGUACUAUGGCACCAUCAUAACUCCCAGCGGCUUUGAACUCCUGGGCUCAAGCGAUCCUCCUGAGUAGCUGGAACCACAGCUGCAUGCCACCACCCCUGACUUUGAUUUAUUUCUGCUGGCCCAUUUCUCUGCCUCACAAUGGUAGAGAAAUGCCUGAGUCACAGAUAGGCUAGGUGACCAGGGAAGCUUGGAAGAAACCCCACAGGCCACCCAAGCUCCCAGGCUACCAUUUGGAGAUCGUUGCUUCGGAGGAAUCCCGGGUCAGGCUGCUGGAAUCUGGACUCACACUUCCGAAACCUCAGUGUUCUGAUCGAUGCUUUACAAGCUGGCUUUGCCCACCUCUCCCAUGGAACACCCUUCCUCCACUGGUCUUUUGAAAUUAUUGCUGUUGGUCUGAUUUUGCUGCCUCUGCUACCAGACGAAUACUGAUGACAAGCUGAGAGGAAGGAGGAAAAAAAUCUCGUAAAAAAAGAGGAAUUUUUAGUCACAAAAAGGAAAUUAUGCCUGCUAAGUGAGACAAGAUGUGAAUUGGCCUUAAAAAGGAGCAGACAUGAAUGUUAAGUGGCAGCUUUGUGCUGAAGGUGGGCAGGCGGCCUUGAGUGGCUGAAGAGGAAGACCGGGGGUGUGGAGGCGGUGGAUCCUUCUAGAACCUUCUAGAAAUUCUGUCCCUUUUAACUUUUUUUUGUCUCGCUCUGUCGCCCAGGCUGGAGUGCAAUGGUGCCAUCUCGGCUCACUGCAACCUCUCCCUCCUGGGUUCAAGCGAUUCUCCUGCCUCAGCCUUCUGAGUAGCUGGGAUUACAGGUGCCUGCCUACAUGGCCGACUAAUUUUUGUAUUUUUAGUAGAGAUGGGGUUUCACCAUGUUGGCCAGGCUAGUCUCGAACUCCUGACUCCAUUUUUUUGAGACUCCAUCUCAAAAAAAACAAAAAACAAAAAAAAAACCCCAAAGUCUGGGACCUUCCCCUUCUCUCUCACUUGCUCCCACUCUCGCCAUGGAACCCUCUGGCUCCCUGUUGCCUUCUGCCAUGAUUGGAAGCUUCCCAAGGCCCCCCAAGAAGCAGAUACUCCUGACAUGCUUCCUGUACAGCCUGCAGAAUCAUAAGCCCAUUAAACUGCUU